rnacentral:tRNA from 1 species
AGCGGGGUAGGGUAGCCAGGAGUGCCCGCUGGGCUCAUAACCCGGAGACCGUCUGUUCAAAUCAGGCCCCCGCUA